AAGACGGUGUGUAAGUCAGAGGAGAAGGAAUCCCGAAGCAAAGCAUACCUUCGCCGCUCACGUCGCAUGUAUUCUGCUCGCCAGCAUGGACUUCUCCAGGAGGAUUAACCUUCCAGAACACACAAGGGAUGAGCCUGCUUCUUCUAGGAUGGCCACAGUACCUCUGACUUUGGAACAAGCAAUUCAGACUCACCACGUUGUGGAGGCCAGGACAGCAAGGCGAUAUUGGACCAACUAUGUGGACCAGGAAUGAGACCGUAGCAUCACCUUGAUGAAAAGGACGAAGAAAUGUUGAAACUCCCAAAGAAGCAAUUAAAUGGCAGAUUUCUUUUUCUUUAGUUCAAAGUUAUGAUAAGCAACAAUAGCAUCAUCCACUAAAUAACAUAUUCGUUAUAAACGUACAUUUCCAUACAGAAGCCUGGAACCAUGAAUGAGAAGACGUAGAAAAAGGAGAAGAAUAAAACUCACAGAGGGAUGAGAUCAUGGAAAUUAGCAGAUGGAGAAAAUACCUAAGUAUGAUUUAUAUGGUUAAGUAAGUUACAGAAAAAAAUUUUUAAUUAUGACUAAGCACUAGGAGACUCUAAAACGAAUCAAGAUGUUUGAGGGGCGCCUAGGUGACUCAGUCGGUGAAGCAUCCGACGUAGUAAGCUCAGGUCAUGAUCUCGUGGUCUGUAA